CUGGCAUCGGUGGUGCUGGGAAGCGGCCCCCGUGGAGGGUCUCCGCUCCGGCCCCUCCUGGGGCCCGCACUCUUCCUCCGGGCCCG
rnacentral:pre_miRNA from 1 species